AUUGAACGCUGGCGGCAGGCUUAACACAUGCAAGUCGAGCGGAGAUGAGGUGCUUGCACCUUAUCUUAGCGGCGGACGGGUGAGUAAUGCUUAGGAAUCUGCCUAUUAGUGGGGGACAACAUUCCGAAAGGAAUGCUAAUACCGCAUACGUCCUACGGGAGAAAGCAGGGGAUCUUCGGACCUUGCGCUAAUAGAUGAGCCUAAGUCGGAUUAGCUAGUUGGUGGGGUAAAGGCCUACCAAGGCGACGAUCUGUAGCGGGUCUGAGAGGAUGAUCCGCCACACUGGGACUGAGACACGGCCCAGACUCCUACGGGAGGCAGCAGUGGGGAAUAUUGGACAAUGGGGGGAACCCUGAUCCAGCCAUGCCGCGUGUGUGAAGAAGGCCUUAUGGUUGUAAAGCACUUUAAGCGAGGAGGAGGCUACUAGUACUAAUACUACUGGAUAGUGGACGUUACUCGCAGAAUAAGCACCGGCUAACUCUGUGCCAGCAGCCGCAGUAACAC
rnacentral:rRNA from 1 species